GGGUUGUGAGGUUAAGCGACUAAGCGUACACGGUGGAUGCCCUGGCAGUCAGAGGCGAUGAAGGACGUGCUAAUCUGCGAUAAGCGCCGGUAAGGUGAUAUGAACCGUUAUAACCGGCGAUUUCCGAAUGGGGAAACCCAGUGUGAUUCGUCACACUAUCAUUAACUGAAUCCAUAGGUUAAUGAGGCGAACCGGGGGAACUGAAACAUCUAAGUACCCCGAGGAAAAGAAAUCAACCGAGAUUCCCCCAGUAGCGGCGAGCGAACGGGGAGGAGCCCAGAGCCUGAAUCAGCAUGUGUGUUAGUGGAAGCGUCUGGAAAGGCGCGCGAUACAGGGUGACAGCCCCGUACACAAAAGCGCAUGUGCUGUGAGCUCGAUGAGUAGGGCGGGACACGUGGUAUCCUGUCUGAAUAUGGGGGGACCAUCCUCCAAGGCUAAAUACUCCUGACUGACCGAUAGUGAACCAGUACCGUGAGGGAAAGGCGAAAAGAACCCCGGCGAGGGGAGUGAAAAAGAACCUGAAACCGUGUACGUACAAGCAGUGGGAGCAC
rnacentral:rRNA from 3 species